AGUAAUAUACUGACGAUUCUCGGUCGUCUCGGUUCUCCCGUCAGACAGUCAGUUUACUUCACACUUUGUGACGGUUUAGUCUGGUACCGAAGGUGAUCCUCUGCAUAUACCUACCAUAGUCUCGUGUAGGUGUCAGAAAGUGGAUCUUGUGAAAUGAACCAAUGUAUUUUAUAAUUGAUUAGUGCGAGUGGAGAAACAAUCAUAAUAGUUACUGCAAUAACAAAUAGCUAUCACUGCAAGAAUCUGUGUGGGCCUAAGUAUCCUAACAAAUUGUAUGUGGAUCUGCUGCUGCUGCUGCAUACAGUAUAAAGAAGAGCAGGCGUUAUAGUGACGCAUGCGGUUGUAAUGAAAUUACAGCAACAAUAGGAAAUCAAAAGUUGAACUGCCACAAAUGUCCAAGAAUUUGAAACAAGCGUAAAUCUUAAAAGAGUGUAGAUACUUUAUUUAGCCUUCCCAACUUGGAUCAAACACAAGCGAAACUUAUCAAUCUUCCUUCAUCUCAUACGAAUCUUAUCGAUUUUUCUACAAAUGUGUGCAAAAUGAUCCAAGCUUCUGUUUUAAUUUUGUUGUAGAUCCCUAGAAUUAAAUGCUCACGCGAAAAGAGACAAGGACAGACGUAUAUGGAAUAUGGUGGCCAGCGUAAACGGAGUGGGGGAACAGACCUUGUUCUAAUUGGUUGAGCUUUCUAUGUGUCUGGGUUGUGGACUGCCACAGAUACCUUGGUUUUGAGUACUACCCAUAACAAGCUCCUAAGGAUUACUAGUAUUUCUUGUUUCUUCCUCAUUUUAAGUACCUACAUUUGUGAUGUUACAAGGAUUGACUAGGGAAAGAAGAAAUGCAAGCAGUGUCUAUUCACGGCGCCUAGUCUGUGGCCACAUAGCUAAUCCCAGUACCAUGUUGGCGUGCAUGAAGAGGCAGGUGGUAGUGAUGAUGAAAUUGACCUCAUGCUAUGGCCACGGGUGAUAGUAAUAACCACAGCGUGAUGACCGAAGCAUUUAUGAUGGUGAUGAUGCAUAUGUUGCUCGGCGCAGAGGCGACUGCGUUUGAAUGACCGUAGGUUCACUUCCGGCUAGGAUGCUUCCGCGAACACUGAGGCUCGUUUGGUGCACGGAGUUUAUUCCAGCACUCCAUUUAGAAGACUAUAAAAACACAAGGUAAGACUAUCAUAACCCAUAUUGUUAGAUUUUAAACACCCGCCAGAACGCGCGAGAAUUGUGUAAAAUUCCACCGAUCUACAAUUCCACAUUUCGCCCCGAAAUCUCUUUGACAAUAUUGAUGGUUCAUUUCGAAAUUCGAAAUAAGCUUCUAGUCUUUUGGUUCAGCAAUCGAGACCAUUCUCUGCCCCCUUGAAAAUGGAAGCUCUCUACCGUGCUUCCUUUAAUGUUCUAGGCUGGGAAUUGAUAGAUUUUUUUAUCACACACUUAUGUCAUAACGAAAGUAGUCAUUGCGCUCCAAUCCAACGGAGAGAAAUAUUUGUUACCGGUACGUCA